rnacentral:rRNA from 1 species
GACGAACGCUGGCGGCGUGCUUAACACAUGCAAGUCGAACGGAAAGGCCCUGCUUUUGUGGGGUGCUCGAGUGGCGAACGGGUGAGUAACACGUGAGUAACCUGCCCUUGACUUUGGGAUAACUUCAGGAAACUGGGGCUAAUACCGGAUAGGAGCUCCUGCUGCAUGGUGGGGGUUGGAAAGUUUCGGCGGUUGGGGAUGGACUCGCGGCUUAUCAGCUUGUUGGUGGGGUAGUGGCUUACCAAGGCUUUGACGGGUAGCCGGCCUGAGAGGGUGACCGGCCACAUUGGGACUGAGAUACGGCCCAGACUCCUACGGGAGGCAGCAGUGGGGAAUAUUGCACAAUGGGCGGAAGCCUGAUGCAGCAACGCCGCGUGCGGGAUGACGGCCUCCGGGUUGUAAACCGCUUUCGCCUGUGACGAAGUGUGAGUGACGGUAAUGGGUAAAGAAGCACCGGCUAACUACGUG